rnacentral:rRNA from 1 species
UAUGUAGGUGGCAAGCGUUGUCCGGAUUUACUGGGCGUAAAGAGCGCGCAGGCGGUCGUUCAAGUCGCGUGUGAAAGCCCCCGGCUCAACUGGGGAGGGUCACGCGAUACUGAUCGACUCGAAGGCAGGAGAGGGUAGUGGAAUUCCCGGUGUAAUGGUGAAAUGCGUAGAUAUCGGGAGGAACACCAGUGGCGAAGGCGACUACCUGGCCUGUUUCUUGACGCUGAGGCGCGAAAGCUAGGGGAGCAAAGCGGG